rnacentral:rRNA from 1 species
UUUAUGGAGAGUUUGAUCCUGGCUCAGGAUGAACGCUGGCGGCGUGCCUAAUACAUGCAAGUCGAGCGAACGGACGAGAAGCUUGCUUCUCUGAUGUUAGCGGCGGACGGGUGAGUAACACGUGGAUAACCUACCUAUAAGACUGGGAUAACUUCGGGAAACCGGAGCUAAUACCGGAUAAUAUUUUGAACCGCAUGGUUCAAAAGUGAAAGA